GAUGAACGCUAGCGGCAGGCCUAACACAUGCAAGUCGAGGGGUAGUUACUUUCGGGUAAUGAGACCGGCGCACGGGUGCGUAACGCGUAUGCAAUCUACCUUUUACAGGGGAAUAGCCCAGAGAAAUUUGGAUUAAUGCCCCAUAGUAUGUAUGAAUCGCAUGGUUUAUACAUUAAAGUUCCAACGGUAAAAGAUGAGCAUGCGUCCCAUUAGUUAGUUGGUAAGGUAACGGCUUACCAAGACGAUGAUGGUAGGGGUCCUGAGAGGGAGAUCCCCCACACUGGUACUGAGACACGGACCAGACUCCUACGGGAGGCAGCAGUGAGGAAUAUUGGACAAUGGGCGCAAGCCUGAUCCAGCCAUGCCGCGUGCAGGAAGAAGCAUCUAUGGUGUGUAAACUGCUUUUGUACGGGAAGAACACUCCUACGUGUAGGAGCUUGACGGUACUGUAAGAAUAAGGAUCGGCUAACUCCGUGCCAGCA
rnacentral:rRNA from 1 species